AUUGAACGCUGGCGGCAGGCCUAACACAUGCAAGUCGAGCGGAUGAAGGGAGCUUGCUCCUGGAUUCAGCGGCGGACGGGUGAGUAAUGCCUAGGAAUCUGCCUGGUAGUGGGGGAUAACGUCCGGAAACGGGCGCUAAUACCGCAUACGUCCUGAGGGAGAAAGUGGGGGAUCUUCGGACCUCACGCUAUCAGAUGAGCCUAGGUCGGAUUAGCUAGUUGGUGGGGUAAAGGCCUACCAAGGCGACGAUCCGUAACUGGUCUGAGAGGAUGAUCAGUCACACUGGAACUGAGACACGGUCCAGACUCCUACGGGAGGCAGCAGUGGGGAAUAUUGGACAAAGGGCGAAAGCCUGAUCCAGCCAUGCCGCGUGUGUGUAGAAGGUCUUCGGAUUGUAAAGCACUUUAAGUUGGGAGGAAGGGCAGUAAGUUAAUACCUUGCUGUUUUGACGUUACCAACAGAAUAAGCACCGGCUAACUUCGUG
rnacentral:rRNA from 1 species